GACGAACGCUGGCGGCGUGCCUAAUACAUGCAAGUAGAACGCUGAAGAGAGGAGCUUGCUCUUCUUGGAUGAGUUGCGAACGGGAGAGUAACGCGUAGGUAACCUGCCUGGUAGCGGGGGAUAACUAUUGGAAACGAUAGCUAAUACCGCAUAACAACAGUUGUUGCAUGACAGCUGUUUAAAAGAUGCAAUUGCAUCACUACCAGAUGGACCUGCGUUGUAUUAGCUAGUUGGUGAGGUAACGGCUCACCAAGGCGACGAUACAUAGCCGACCUGAGAGGGUGAUCGGCCACACUGGGACGGAGACACGGCCCAGACGCCUACGGGAGGCAGCAGUAGGGAAUCUUCGGCAAUGGGGGGAACCCUGACCGAGCAACGCCGCGUGAGUGAAGAAGGUUUUCGGAUCGUAAAGCUCGGUUGUAAGAGAAGAACGGGUGUGAGAGUGGAAAGUUCACACUGUGACGGUAUCUGACCAGAAAGGGACGGCUAACUACGUG
rnacentral:rRNA from 1 species